AGGUUAUGAGGGUUACGAGUAUAUGUAGCUGAGCUGUUAGUACCCGAUUCUAGCCCUUUUGAGGUUGAAAUUAGUAUUGAAAAAGUAUAACUCGCUAGGUAGCGAUCAAUUACGGCAGAACUUAUUCAACUAAAAGGUUCCUGUGACAUUUGUCUGAGUGAAAAUGAACACAAGAAGAAUAUUUUGCAAUCUGUGGAGUUCGAAAGCUGUGACGUGUGGUACAGCUUCACAUUUGAUUCACACAACUCGUGUUGUUUUGUUCUGGGAACGGGAUCACAAAGGCGGGUACCUGCGAGACAGACCGAAACCUGCAUCACUGGACCUUAUCCGUGAUGGACUGAAAGAACUGAAGGGUGAGAUAAAAUUGUGGAAGGAUGAGGUGAAAGAACACUUUAAAGGUGAUCCCAUCCUUGCAUACAGACCAGGUGAGACUGAUAUCGUGUGGCAGUUCAGCCAGCCUGAAACUCUGUCAAAAUGGGUGACAACUAGUGACAGUGAUCACAAUGAGGGGUACAGCACUUGUAAAUUGUCACUCAGCAAAGGUGGCAAAGGUCUGUUCAUGGGCACACUUAAUACAGAAGUGCCCAAGGAUGGACGCAUAAAGAAGGCUGGAUAUUGCAACAUGCGGUCCAUGAGACCACGGAAAUCCUUCAAGCGGGAAUCAUACUUUGACUGGCGCAUGUACUCCCACAUUGUGCUCAGAGUUCGAGGUGAUGGCCGCUCCUACAUGCUCAACAUUUCCACUAUGGGCUACUUUGACAUCAUGUGGAAUGAUAUCUACUCAUAUGUGCUCUUCACCAGAGGUGGCCCAUACUGGCAGCUGUCCAAGAUUCCAUUUUCCAAGUUCUUCCUCACAAGUAAGGGACGCAUCCAGGAUAAGCAGAACGCCAUCCCAUUGGACAAAGUAACCCAUGUGGGCAUCUCAGCAGGGGACAAAAUCGAUGGACCUUUUCACUUGGAGAUAGACUACAUUGGCCUGGAAUUUGAUCCUUCUCAUACAGAGAAUUUUGCAUAUGAGAUGUACAAGGUGCCCAAAUAUAUAGUUGGAGUGUAAUGCCGGAGCAGAAGUAGUGCAGCGUUGCUGGAGAACGCUGCCAAGAGUUGUUUAUUGCUGUGUAGUAACCGCACUGUCCCCCGCUACGUCACCACGGGUAAGGGGGACAGAGUGUUGACUGGACCGUUAUGUCACCGCUGGAGGGGGGCGUGUUUACCGAGCGUUGCGCCGCCCACGUCACAUUAUCAUCAAUGGCUGUGCUUGAGGAAUUUUGAACUCUUGUGAAAUUCACUGUGUGUGACAGAUUGUAUGUCCUUAUUGAAGAGUAUACUUGUUUUUUCUGACUGCUUUCAUUUAAAUAGUUUAUGUUUAUGUCUCCACAGAUUAUGAACUCAGACUUUGGAUUGUACAGAUAUUUUAAAGUUCCAUCUAGUCUCCUUAGAACUUCAUUAACCUCUCCUGAAGGGGCUCUGUACAGGCUUAAUAUAAUUAGGCUUACUAUACUAGCAGAGAUACCAGCAGUUUCUGUCUGUUCAGUCACUUGCUUCAAACUAGGCAUACUGGCAAAAAGGAAGAUG